rnacentral:lncRNA from 1 species
AGGAAGCAGAAACUUUAUUGAACUAUGAGAAAGAACCAAAUACAAAAUGUAAUAUGUGCAGUUUCUCAAGUGACCUGAUAAUUACAGCAAAAAUGGAGUAUGCCCACUGUGUUAACAAGAACAGAAGCAAGCAACUGUGAUCCCCAAAUAUAGUGGAGCUGAUCCACAAAAAGGAAGAUAGAAAGCACACCAGAGUGAAAUAGCAGAUAUAAACCCGGAUAGAAAAGAAUUGCAGUAGUAAAAUAACUCCAAAAAUGGCAUUUGGCUGUGGAGACUAGCUGAAAUAGAAAAGAAUAGAUGCUGUAAAGCCUGAUUGUAUUAGCGACAAGUGAAAGGUCUUGUAGAAUAAGUACAAUAGUGAUGCUGUAACCCGGCCAUUAUAAGCAGAGUGUAGGUUCCAGAUGACCAGCAGGCAAAAACGAAAUACUUUAUAAGAAACAGCAAUCCAUUGUAGUAGAGAAAGAAGUGUGUGUAAAAGUAUAUAUUUGAAGCAGCAAGUAGUAUAUAUGAUUCCAUGAAGACUGCAACUCCGUUUCAUAAGAUGUGCAUAUAACAACAGCGUAUGUACAUAUAGGAAGCAAUAUUUCUGAAAAGAUGGCAAGUGAACAGCAGCAUUGAAACCCUUCCAAAGCAUAGCUGAACGACAAUUGAGUCCGAAUAAAUUUGAAAGCAGGAUGAUGCUGAUGUUGGAGUUGUGAUUAUGAUCAACAAAGAACAGCUGACUUCUAGGAGAUGAUAAGAAAUUGCAGCAGAGAAUAAGUUCCUCAACAUGAAAACUUAGUAACCAACCAAGGCUUUCAUAGAGUAGAUAAACUUGUAGUUGUAGAACACCUAAAACCUCCACAGAUAAAAUGUCAUGAUAUUUUAACUGUAGGACAAAUUCAUUCUCAAUUUUUUCUUUUUCUUGCUCAUCCUCCAUUACCUCUUUUUCUUUUUGAAAUAGUAAUGCAUCAAUAUCAUCAUUAAUCUUAAAUAUAAUGGGAUGGAAAGCAAGAAAACAAUGGGAAUGAUAGCAGGAGAGUCCAUGAAGGAAAGAGCAAUGAGACCAUAAAGCGAGAGCAAUAAGAAAGAUAACCCAGAAAUUGGAUUGCUUGGAAAUGUAUGAGUAAUUGAAGAGGGAGAUAGAAAGGUGGAAAUAACUAGUGGAGAAAAACAACUGAAAGAUAUAAUCCACGCCAGGAUGAAGCACCUGUAGUUUAACAAGUAAAAGCAUAUAUUGCAAUCCAAUGCAAUACCCUAUGAUAUCAGCAGAUGAUAACAGCAAAUAUAACUUGUUAUGUAAUAGUGGAGCUUUAAGAAUGUAGACCUGCAAUUCAGUGAAACCAGUAGAAACCCGACAACAUACAUUAUGUUCCAGCUGAUAGGAUCACCAACCUUCCACUGCGAUAGCAGCUGUAGAUUCAGUGGACUAUCCAUUUUGAUGCAACAAAACGCUAUAGGCAUCUGCAUGGAGUAAAUAAAGACAAUUAGAAUCAACAUGAUCCUCGGUAAACCAUCGAAAAUUACCAUUUAAUGCUUUGUUAGCUAGAUAAUCUGCCACUUGGUUAGCUUCUCAAUAAAUAUGAACAAUUUUAAAGAAAGAACAAGAUCCUUCCAUUGCUGCAUAUCCUGCAAAAAAGAAGUAUUUUAAAAGCAUUAAACCAAG